AACGAACGCUGGCGGCAUGCCUAACACAUGCAAGUCGAACGAUGCCUUCGGGCAUAGUGGCGCACGGGUGCGUAACGCGUGGGAAUCUGCCCUUGGCUUCGGAAUAACAGUUAGAAAUGACUGCUAAUACCGGAUGAUGUCCCCCUGAGAGAUCUUGGGGACCAAAGAUUUAUCGGCCAGGGAUGAGCCCGCGUAGGAUUAGGUAGUUGGUGGGGUAAAGGCCUACCAAGCCGACGAUCCUUAGCUGGUCUGAGAGGAUGAUCAGCCACACUGGGACUGAGACACGGCCCAGACUCCUACGGGAGGCAGCAGUGGGGAAUAUUGGACAAUGGGGGGAACCCUGAUCCAGCAAUGCCGCGUGAGUGAUGAAGUCCUUAGGGUUGUAAAGCUCUUUUACCAGGGAUGAUAAUGACAGUACCUGGAGAAUAAGCUCCGGCUAACUCCGUG
rnacentral:rRNA from 1 species